rnacentral:rRNA from 1 species
CCUACGGGAGGCAGCAGUGAGGAAUAUUGGUCAAUGGGCGGGAGUCUGAACCAGCCAAGUAGCGUGAAGGAUGACUGCCCUAUGGGUUGUAAACUUCUUUUAUACAGGGAUAAAACGCGUCACGUGUGCCUUUUUGCAUGUACUUUAUGAAUAAGGAUCGGCUAACUCCGUGCCAGCAGCCGCGGUAAUACGGAGGAUCCGAGCGUUAUCCGGAUUUAUUGGGUUUAAAGGGAGCGUAGAUGGGUUGUUAAGUCAGUUGUGAAAGUUUGAGGCUCAACAGUAAAAUUGCAAUUGAUACUGGCAGUCUUGAGUACAGUUGAGGUAAGCGGAAUGCGUGGUGUAGCGGUGAAAUGCUUAGAUAUCACGAAGAACCCCGAUUGCGAAGGCAGCUUACUAAACUGUGACUGACAUUGAUGCUCGAAAGUGUGGGUAUCAAACAGGAUUAGAUACCCGAGUAGUC